rnacentral:rRNA from 1 species
AGAGUUUGAUCCUGGCUCAGAUUGAACGCUGGCGGCAUGCUUUACACAUGCAAGUCGAACGGCAGCGCGGGGCAACCUGGCGGCGAGUGGCGAACGGGUGAGUAAUACAUCGGAACGUACCCAGAAGUGGGGGAUAACGUAGCGAAAGUUACGCUAAUACCGCAUACGUUCUACGGAAGAAAGUGGGGGACCUUCGGGCCUCAUGCUUUUGGAGCGGCCGAUGUCUGAUUAGCUAGUUGGUGAGGUAAAGGCUCACCAAGGCGACGAUCAGUAGCUGGUCUGAGAGGACGACCAGCCACACUGGGACUGAGACACGGCCCAGACUCCUACGGGAGGCAGCAGUGGGGAAUUUUGGACAAUGGGCGCAAGCCUGAUCCAGCAAUGCCGCGUGAGUGAAGAAGGCCUUCGGGUUGUAAAGCUCUUUUGUCAGGGAAGAAACGGCUGAGGCUAAUACCUUCGGCUAAUGACGGUACCUGAAGAAUAAGCACCGGCUAACUACGUGCCAGCAGCCGCGGUAAUACGUAGGGUGCAAGCGUUAAUCGGAAUUACUGGGCGUAAAGCGUGCGCAGGCGGUUUUGUAAGUCUGUCGUGAAAGCCCCGGGCUCAACCUGGGAAUUGCGAUGGAGACUGCAAGGCUUGAAUCUGGCAGAGGGGGGUAGAAUUCCACGUAGCAGUGAAAUGCGUAGAGAUGUGGAGGAACACCGAUGGCGAAGGCAGCCCCCUGGGUCAAGAUUGACGCUCAUGCACGAAAGCGUGGGGAGCAAACAGGAUUAGAUACCCUAGUAGUCC